AUUGACCUCGGAUCAGGUAGGGAUACCCGCUGAACUUAAGCAUAUCAAUAAGCGGAGGAAAAGAAACCAACAGGGAUUGCCUCAGUAACGGCGAGUGAAGCGGCAACAGCUCAGAGUUGAAAUCUGGCCCCGUCGGGGUCCGAGUUGUAAUUUGUAGAGAGUGUUUCGGGUGAGACCACGGUCUAAGUCCAUUGGAACAUGGCGUCAUAGAGGGUGAGAAUCCCGUCUGUGACCGUGGCUCGAGCCCAUGUGAAGCCUCUUCGACGAGUCGAGUUGUUUGGGAAUGCAGCUCAAAAUGGGUGGUAAAUUUCAUCUAAAGCUAAAUACUGGCUGGAGACCGAUAGCGCACAAGUAGAGUGAUCGAAAGAUGAAAAGCACUUUGGAAAGAGAGUGAAAAAGUACGUGAAAUUGUUGAAA
rnacentral:rRNA from 1 species